GCGGCGCACGGGUGCGUAACACGUGGGUAAUCUGCCCUGGAGUCCGGAAUAACUCGCCGAAAGGCGUGCUAAUGCCGGAUGAGACCACGGGAGCCUCGGCUCCUGCGGAAAAAGAUGGCCUCUGUACACAAGCUAUCACUCCAGGAUGAGCCCGCGGCCCAUCAGCUAGUUGGCGGGGUAAUGGCCCACCAAGGCAACGACGGGUAGCUGGUCUGAGAGGACGAUCAGCCACACUGGAACUGAGACACGGUCCAGACUCCUACGGGAGGCAGCAGUGGGAAUCUUGCGCAAUGGGCGAAAGCCUGACGCAGCAACGCCGCGUGUGUGAUGAAGGUCUUCGGAUCGUAAAGCACUGUCGCGAGGGACG
rnacentral:rRNA from 1 species